AAAAUACGGGAGGCAGCAGUGGGGAAUAUUGCACAAUGGGCGAAAGCCUGAUGCAGCGACGCCGCGUGAGGGAUGGAGGCCUUGGUUGUGAACCUCUUUCGCCCGUGGUCAAGCCGCAACGUGGGUUGUGGUGAGGGUAGUGGGUAAAGAAGCGCCGGCUAACUACGUGCCAGCAGCCGCGGUAAUUUUU
rnacentral:rRNA from 1 species